UACGUAGGUGGCAAGCGUUGUCCGGAUUUACUGGGCGUAAAGAGCGCGCAGGCGGUCGUUCAAGUCGCGUGUGAAAGCCCCCGGCUCAACUGGGGAGGGUCACGCGAUACUGAUCGACUCGAAGGCAGGAGAGGGUAGUGGAGUUCCCGGUGUAGUGGUGAAAUGCGUAGAUAUCUGGAGGAACACCAGUGGCGGAGGCGGCAUCCUGGCCCUGUCCUGACGCUCAGGGGCGAAAGCGUGGGGAGCAAACAGG
rnacentral:rRNA from 1 species